rnacentral:tRNA from 1 species
GCCCCUGUAGCUCAACUGGAUAGAGCGGUUCCGUCCUAAGGAAAGGGUUGUGGGUUCAAGUCCUGCCAGGGGCG